rnacentral:rRNA from 1 species
GAUGAACGCUGGCGGCGUGCCUAACACAUGCAAGUCGAACGGAAAGACACUAAGAUUGUGGUGUUCCCGAUUGCCGAAGGCGGGAGUGACACGUGUGUAACCUGACCUUGUCUUUCGGAGAACAUCACGUAACGGAGGCUAAUAUCAUAUAGCAUAUCAUGUACCGGGGUGGGCAGUGGAAAGUCUCGGCGUUCGGGGAUGAACUAGCGGCUUAUGAGCUAGUUGGCGGGGUGGAUGCUCACCAAGGCGACGAUGGGUAGCCGGCCUGACAGGGUGGACGGCCACACUGGAACUGAGACACGGUCCAGAGUCCUACGGGAGGCAGCAGUGGGGAAUCUUGGACAAUGGGCGGAAGCCUGAUCCAGCCAGGCCGCGUGGGUGAAGAAGGCCGUCGGGUUGUAAAGCCCUUUUGUUGGGUAAGAAAAGCUGUAGGUUUAUACCGCGCUGUUCUGACGGUACCUAAAGAAAAAGCACCGGCUAACUUCGUG